UUACUGAGUUUACGCUCUAUAACCCUUUGUGAACAUACCUAUAACUGUUGCUUCGGCGGGUAGGGUCUCCGUGACCCUCCCGGCCUCCCGCCCCCGGGCGGGUCGGCGCCCGCCGGAGGAUAACCAAACUCUGAUUUAACGACGUUUCUUCUGAGUGGUACAAGCAAAUAAUCAAAACUUUUAACAACGGAUCUCUUGGUUCUGGCAUCGAUGAAGAACGCAGCGAAAUGCGAUAAGUAAUGUGAAUUGCAGAAUUCAGUGAAUCAUCGAAUCUUUGAACGCACAUUGCGCCCGCCAGCAUUCUGGCGGGCAUGCCUGUUCGAGCGUCAUUUCAACCCUCAAGCUCUGCUUGGUGUUGGGGCCCUACAGCUGAUGUAGGCCCUCAAAGGUAGUGGCGGACCCUCCCGGAGCCUCCUUUGCGUAGUAACUUUACGUCUCGCACUGGGAUCCGGAGGGACUCUUGCCGUAAAACCCCCAAUUUUCCAAAGGUUGACCUCGGAUCAGGUAGGAAUACCCGCUGAACUUAAGCAUAUCAAUAAGCGGAGGAAAAGAAACCAACAGGGAUUGCCUCAGUAACGGCGAGUGAAGCGGCAACAGCUCAAAUUUGAAAUCUGGCCCUAGGCCCGAGUUGUAAUUUGCAGAGGAUGCUUUUGGUGCGGUGCCUUCCAAGUUCCCUAGA
rnacentral:rRNA from 1 species